rnacentral:misc_RNA from 1 species
UUGAAUUUUAAUGAAGAGUUUGGUUGUAGCUGGCCCAUUCAUUUGGGCAUGUGCACACCUUCCUCUUUCAUCCCACACACACCUGUGAACCUGUGAGACAGAGAUGGGGAAUUUACUUGCUGCCUUUUGGAAUACAAAGGCAAUAGGUUAUUGGACCCCCCCUCUGUCUACUCAAUUAAUAUAAACUCAAUUUAUUUUAAAACGAAUGUAAUGGAUGUAACACAUCUCAUAC